rnacentral:misc_RNA from 1 species
UUAACUAUUGUAUAGUACUCAGACGACGCUAAAAUAAUUCAGGGUUUGGGGUUCUCUGGCGGGCGCUCACAAGCGAGAGCCGGUGGCCUGAAAGGGACGGCCCGCCAAAGCAACAAAGGUAGGGUAUUCAAGGGUGGGAGAUCUACCCGGAGGGCAUGAACUCGGUAAUGAUCCUUCCGCAGGUUCACCUACGGAAA